rnacentral:tRNA from 1 species
GGGGCGGUAGCUCAGCCGGUCAGAGCAGAGGACUCAUAAUCCUCCGGUCGUGGGUUCGAGCCCCACCCGCCCCA